AAAGCCCGAAAAUGGGGUAGUGCGUAGACUCCGGGUUCUCGCGAGAAUGCCGAGGUGGUGAGGGCGCCGAGCUGCGGGGACUCGUAACCAGGGCGACGGGGGCGGGGCGCUGGUCCUACGCCGCCGGGUGCUCACCUGGAUUGCGCGUCCACUUGGCGAGUUCAGCGUCAGGUCCCAGAGGGUCCCCAGCAAAAACUCCUGUAUAUCCUGGCUCUUCCCUGACCACUUUGGAGCAGGUCCUCAGACCCAUGUGAGAGGCUGCCUCCUAGGCUAUAGUCCUCAGAAGAAGUACCCAUUGGAGAGUCCUCUGUCAAGCAGGCUCAGCAAGCAGUUUGCCGUGGCCCACGACCAAGCUGCCAUGCUCUGUGUUCAGUAUUCAGGGCAAAGACACAUUUCCUAAGCCUGUAUAGUCUGUGCAGUUUUAUUACAUAGACGUGUUUGUUUUGUCGUCCUCGGCCUUGAGUCUCAGCUGCUUGAGCAUCACGUCGACACCAGCAAAGGCGCCGUGUGAAGGCAGUCGCCUCCUCUCGGGCCUGUCCUCUCUGGACUCGGGGCGCCGCAUUUCAACAAGGAGGGAUCGUCAUUUAUGACCCAGCAAUCCCAGGUUUAUAAUCUUUUUGCAACCACAGCCAUUGGUGAUGGGAUAAAACUUUGGGACCUGAGAACCCUGAGGUGUGAGAGCCGUUUUGAAGGACAUCCGAAGUGCUGCUACCCGUGUGGAAUUGCUUUUAGCGUUUGCGGCCGAUAUGUGGCUUGUGCUGAGGAUAAGCAUGGUAUCGUGGAAGCUUAUCAUAGGAAAUAGAAAGUAUGAAGUAAAUUCGUGAAGAUGAUAAACUUUCUAAAAGGGAAAAGAGAAAAGCACAUUUCAUGAAGUUACUUCCAUGGCGUAGGUGGCGUUUUGUCGACCAGCUGCUUCUCUGAUGCCUGAUCAGCUGGCGAACAUACUUGAGCUUUGCACGAUGCCUUGCGGAUCAUCCGAGCCUGCAACGCGGAGCACCUGUGCGUUCUGUCCUCUGGGCGUUCGUGUGCAAAACCAGCUCUGGCACUUACUGCUGCAGACUGGCAGGACGCAUGGACACGGUCACGGCCGUGGCCUUCAGCCCGGCCGCUGCCCAGGUGUGGUCGCCUCUGUUUCGUACAAGUCUCACAUCAUAGCUUUUCUAUCUGUCGGCCUGUAUUUUGGUGAAAUUUUGUAAUAUUUAAGAUUACAUGCCAGCUUGCAUCGAGUGCAGGGAGAUGAACUUAGGAAAUAGACCUUUACUGGGGAGAAAGAGAAAUCGAGGGUGUUUUCUUUUACAGUGAAAGUGUUUGUCAUUCGGUGCCGAUGGACAUUUGCUCUAACUGAAAUAUAAAAAAAUAAUGAGAUAUCCGUGGACAGGAUCAUUGAAGGAAGAAAGCAAGUACACGGCAAGUAAGGAAAUGAUUUUGAAAUUCUCGUGAAAAGGAUUUAGAUGGAGAAGGAGGACCACAAAAUUUAAAGAAUCUUAAUUAGGAGAAAGGAUUAAGAGAAAGUAACAUCAACUGCAAAUCAACCCAGAAAAGUGAAUGAUCUUGUAUUAA